rnacentral:rRNA from 1 species
UCUAAGUAUAACCUGCCAGACAGGGAAACUGCGUACGGCUCAUUACACCAGCCUUAAUUUACUUGACCUUGACAACCUACUUGGAUAACUGUGGUGAUUCUAGAGCUAAUACAUGCACCAAAGCUCCGAUCCUCGCGGAGAGGAGCGCAUUUGUUCGCCACAAAACCAAGCGCCCAUCUGGGCGUCCAGUGCUGAACCAGAACAACUCAGCUGAUCGCACGGUCUUGUACCGGCGACGUGUCUUUCAAGUGUCUGCCUUAUCAACUUUCGAUGGUAGUGUACCUGACUACCAUGGUUGUGACGGGUAACGGAGGAUAAGGGUUCGACUCCGGAGAAGGGGCCUGAGAAAUGGCCACUACGUCUAAGGAUGGCAGCAGGCGCGCAAAUUACCCACUCUCAACGCGAGGAGGUAGUGACGAGAAAUAACGAGACCGUUCUCAUACGAGGCCGGUUAUUGGAAUGGGUACAAUUUAAA